ACUAACGAGAGUUUGAUCCUGGCUCAGAAUCAACGCUGGCGGCGUGCCUCAGACAUGCAAGUCGAACGAUUAAAGCUCUCUUCGGAGAGUGCAUAGAGUGGCGCACGGGUGAGUAACACGUAAGUAAUCUACCUUCGAGUGGGGAAUAACAGUCGGAAACGGCUGCUAAUACCGCAUAAUGCAGCGGCACCUAAUGGUGACAGUUGUUAAAGGAGCAAUCCGCUUGAAGAGGAGCUUGCGGCAGAUUAGCUAGUUGGUAAGGUAAUGGCUUACCAAGGCUUCGAUCUGUAACCGGUCUAAGAGGACGGUCGGUCACACUGACACUGAAUAACGGGUCAGACUCCUACGGGAGGCAGCAGUCGGGAAUUUUGGGCAAUGGGCGAAAGCCUGACCCAGCAACGCCGCGUGAAGGAUGAAGUAUUUCGGUAUGUAAACUUCGAAAGAAUGGGAAGAAUCAAUGACGGUACCAUUUAUAAGGUCCGGCUAACUACGUGCCAGCAGCCGCGGUAAUACGUAGGGACCAAGCGUUGUUCGGAUUUACUGGGCGUAAAGGGCGCGUAGGCGGCUUGUCAAGUCACUUGUGAAAUCUCCGGGCUUAACCCGGAACGGCCAAGUGAAACUGACAUGCUAGAGUGCAGAAGGGGCAAUCGGAAUUCUCGGUGUAGCGGUGAAAUGCGUAGAUAUCGAGAGGAACACCUGAGGUGAAGACGGGUUGCUGGGCUGACACUGACGCUGAGGCGCGAAAGCCAGGGGAGCAAACGGGAUUAGAUACCCCGGUAGUCCUGGCCCUAAACGAUGAAUACUUGGUGUCUGGAGUUAUUAGUGCUCCGGGUGCCGUCGCUAACGUUUUUAGUAUUCCGCCUGGGGAGUACGCUCGCAAGAGUGAAACUCAAAGGAAUUGACGGGGACCCGCACAAGCGGUGGAGCAUGUGGUUUAAUUCGACGCAAC
rnacentral:rRNA from 1 species